rnacentral:rRNA from 1 species
AGAGUUGAUCCUGGCUCAGGAUGAACGCUAGCGACAGGCUUAACACAUGCAAGUCGAGGGGCAGCAUAAAAGUAGCAAUACUUGGUGGCGACCGGCGCACGGGUGAGUAACGCGUAUGCAACCUACCUAUCAGAGGGGAAUAACCCGGCAAAAGUCGGACUAAUACCGCAUAAAACAGGGGCACCGCAUGGUGAUAUUUGUUAAAGAAAUUCGCUGAUAGAUGGGCAUGCGUUCCAUUAGGUAGUUGGUGAGGUAACGGCUCACCAAGCCGACGAUGGAUAGGGGAACUGAGAGGUUGGUCCCCCACACUGGUACUGAGACACGGACCAGACUCCUACGGGAGGCAGCAGUGAGGAAUAUUGGUCAAUGGGCGGGAGCCUGAACCAGCCAAGUCGCGUGAAGGAAAGAAGGAUCUAUGGUUCGUAAACUUCUUUUGCAGGGGAAUAAAGUGCAGGACGUGUCCUGUUUUGUAUGUACCCUGAGAAUAAGGAUCGGCUAACUCCGUGCCAGCAGCAGC